CGCAGCCGUCGAUGUGUAUGGCACAUGCUUUGUGUAUUGUGCAUUAGGCGACAACCUCCAAACAUACUCCGCCGUAUAGUUCAUUCACAGUUUUGUUCGUAUUCAAUUAAAAAUAAAUUAAAGGGUAUCAAUCGGUGACUUCUGCACUCUUGCAUAGAGUCGGCAUUUGAUUUAGUGUGUGAAAAAUUUUUCUGCGGGCGAAAAAAAAACGUGAAAAUGGUUGAGAGUGAUACAAUGUUCAAUAUUGUAAUUCCAACGCUUAUAAUGGUGGGCUUGUUGGUGUUCAACGCCGUCAUUUUUCUUGUCAUCAUGAGAUAUCGCAAUCGAAGCAAAAAUGCGUCGAUCGAAGAGAAUGGCCAAGAGCUACAGGAGCUAACUCGAAUGUAAACUAGCGCACAGGAAUUACACUACCGUACAAAUGACAUACUUGCCUUUCAAAUUUGCCAUCCAGUCAAUUCAGAAAGAACUUAUUUACAAAUGCAUCACUUUUUCAACCAAUAGGAUUUGUGACGUACAUUUUAACAAGACGCAAUUUUUAUCAAAAACAAAAUGAAAAAGAAGUAGCAAAACUUAGAUGGAAUCCAUCCAGAAAAAAUACUUUGACGCACUUUUCCAAAUUCAAAGACUGUUUAAUAUGCGUUUACAAAGCUACACCAAAAUUUGUUGUAAUUCAAACUUGAAUCUGAAUUCCAGUCUCUUGCAUUUAUUUUUGUCUUACAAUUGAAGAAAUGUGAACUGAAUAAAAUUAGACUUCAAGACAUAUGA